rfam:Solanum tuberosum cultivar DM 1-3 516 R44 scf00040_89, whole genome shotgun sequence.
GUUCCUUUGGGGACAUUUGAUAAAAUUGGAACGAUAUAGAGAAGAGAAGAUUAGCAUGACUCUUGCGCAAGGAUGACAUGCACAAAUCGAGAAAUGUUAUGAAAUUUC